rnacentral:rRNA from 1 species
GAUGGACGCUGGCGGCGUGCCUAAUACAUGCAAGUCGAGCGAACAGAUAAGGAGCUUGCUCCUUUGACGUUAGCGGCGGACGGGUGAGUAACACGUGGGUAACCUACCUAUAAGACUGGAAUAACUCCGGGAAACCGGGGCUAAUGCCGGAUAACAUUUAGAACCGCAUGGUUCUAAAGUGAAAGAUGGUUUUGCUAUCACUUAUAGAUGGACCCGCGCCGUAUUAGCUAGUUGGUAAGGUAACGGCUUACCAAGGCAACGAUACGUAGCCGACCUGAGAGGGUGAUAGGCCACACGGGAACUGAGACACGGUCAAGACGCCUACGGGAGGCAGCAGUAGGGAAUCGGCCGCAAUGGGCGAAAGCCUGACGGAGCAACGCCGCGUGAGUGAUGAAGGUCUUCGGAUCGUAAAACUCUGUUAUUAGGGAAGAACAAAUGUGUAAGUAACUGUGCACGUCUUGACGGUACCUAAUCAGAAAGCCACGGCUAACUACGUG